AGGGUUUGAUUCUGGCUCAGGAUGAACGCUGGCGGCGUGCUUAACACAUGCAAGUCGAACGAAACACCUUAUUUGAUUUUCUUCGGAACUGAAGAUUUGGUGAUUGAGUGGCGGACGGGUGAGUAACGCGUGGGUAACCUGCCCUGUACAGGGGGAUAACAGUCAGAAAUGACUGCUAAUACCGCAUAAGCGCACGGCAUCGCAUGAUGCAGUGUGAAAAACUCCGGUGGUAUAAGAUGGACCCGCGUUGGAUUAGCUAGUUGGUGAGGUAACGGCCCACCAAGGCGACGAUCCAUAGCCGACCUGAGAGGGUGACCGGCCACAUUGGGACUGAGACACGGCCCAA
rnacentral:rRNA from 1 species